GCGGGCGUGGCGGAACUGGUAGACGCGCGGGUUUUAGGUACCCGUGGAGUAAUCCGUGGGGGUUCAAGUCCCUCCGCCCGCACCA
rnacentral:tRNA from 1 species